GGUCAAAAUUGAAAAGCAACGUUCGGAUUGAAAAAUAGAGAGAGAAAGAGAAAGUGGCACAAAAACAAAAGAGAAGAAGGAUCAUAAAAACCUUCCCAUUUGCUUCCAAAUACUAUACUCCUUCCUUCCAAAGCAACGACACUCUUUGGAACCAAUUCGCCGUUCUCUCUCUCUCUCUGCAUCUCUUCAACAAGUCUCAGAUUCUUUCCCUAUUUAUCUCGCCGCCAUUGUCAAUGCCGGCGGCCUCUCCGUGUGCGCCGCUGCUAUAGCCGGAGAUUCUGCGGCGGAGAUUCUCGCGGCGGUUCCGUCGGAUUUUUCUAGGGUUUUCUGAUCGUUCGGUUUGCGCUCCGUGGCAUCAACGCCCUAAUGCCUCCGCCGCGCCGACGCGGAGCGAACAAGGCGAAGGCCAAUGGUCACUUGAGGUUGGGCGAUCUUGUGCUCGCUAAGGUUAAGGGAUUCCCGUAUUGGCCUGCCAUGAUAAGCAGGCCUGAAGAUUGGGAUAAACCCCCUGAUCCAAAGAAGUAUUUUGUUCAAUUUUUUGGGACCAAAGAAAUAGCUUUUGUUGCCCCUGCGGAUAUUCAGGUAUUCACCAAUGAGACUAAAACUAAGUUGUCUGCUCGGUGUCAAGGAAAGACAAAGUAUUUCACCAAAGCCGUGAAGGAAAUCUGUGCAGCAUUUGAGGAGUUAGAGAAACAGAAAGCUAGUGGUUUGAAAGAGGACACUGAUGAUUCACAUAUAGGUUCGGGAACUCCUGUUGUUGGGGUAUUGGCUCACCCAAAGGAUGCCACAGAUGCUGUGGUACUCAAUGUAGAAAAAACUGACACAUAUGUGGGAGAUGUUGGCUCAAAUUUGGAGCAAUGUACACAGAAAUGUGAAGAAAGUGGUAGCCAAGAUGCAAAACCUUCUCUAUCUGGUCAUCCAAUUGACGGUUCGUCUCCAGUGUUGUCUCCUGUGAUUGAAAGUAAACCAUUAAUUGGUGAAGAACUGAAUAACCACAGUAGCAAAUCUGGCCUGGACAAACAAUCAUGUCGUAAAGUUGAAGACUCUGAUAUUGAGAAUGUGUGCAAUGUUAAUGACUUAAAGCAAGCUGAUUAUGUACAGAGUGUUUCUACAAAUGGGAACAACUCAAGAAAGAUUGUUAGUGGCUCAAGAAGAAGCAAGAUUGCAGAUGAUAGGAAAAGAAGUGGUGAAAUUAGUAGAGCAGUUUUGAAAGAUGAAAGUUGUGCAGGUUAUGCUGGUUUUUCCAGGUCUGGAGAGAAAUCGAAAGAUAAAAAAAAGGGGAAAGAUUCAUUUUCUGUUAGGUCAGAUUCUCUAGAUGCUCCAAAAUCAGACACUGAUAUUAACGGUGGAAGUAAAAAUAAGAACUUGCUGAAAGUUAAAACAAGUCUUAAGGUUAAAAAAGAGUUACAAGAGAGCUUUGAAUGUUCUGAGGCCGAGAGAAAAAAACCUCUUAAGCAUAACAAAACCCAAGUUCAUGGAAAACGUAAUUUGGGAACAAAUGAAACCUCACAUGCUACCAAGAAGUUGAAGUUUAUGGAUAACAAAGACAACAAGACUUCAAAGUCUCUCUCGGAAGAUGGAAAUAGUGUUUUGCCUAGCUCUCCUGACAAAGAAUUCAAACAAAUAGAGCUGAAAAGGUCUACAUCACGUUUGAAAUCAGAAAAAGGUUUGCCAUCAAGGGGUCAGAUCAGCAUUGUAGGUUCUGAUGAUUCUGUUGGUGAAUUACUGCCUGAGACAAAACAUCGUACCCAAGUCCCGCAAGCUAUGCCUGAUUCUGCUAGUGUUUCAUCUGGUGGACAUACAGAGAUAAGUUCUCUUGGUUCGAAAGGUGACACAAAUAAUGUUGCAAUUAAGCAAGUAAAGAGGAGACGAAGAGCUGUUUGCGUUUCUGAUGAUGAUGAUGAUGAUGAACCCAAGACUCCUGUUCAUGGAGGAGCUGCUAAAGAUAUUAAAUCAACUUCUUUUGUUUCAGAGGUUAUGAAGAGCAGUGAUACACUGCUAGAAAACACUGAUGUUACUCAGCUGGCUACCAAAAACCUUAGUGCACUUGAUGAUAUCCAUUUUAAAGAAUCCACUUCUGAAUUACAUAAUGACAAUUUGUCUAUUGGGCAUCCUCAAAAAGAGACUGAUGAAGCUACUGUUCAAUUACCUCAUAGUCCUUGGAGAUUAGGUUCAAAGCAACAUCCUCCCAAGGUGGUGGAUAAAUUGAGGUCCAUCUCUCCUGUAAAUUCACCUCGUUCUCUUCAUACAACAAAGUCAAAUGCUGAGCAAAAUAAAUCUUCCAAACGUAUGCUUCAAGUUUCCAGUAAUUCUACACAUAAGAAAGUUGAUAACGGGUUUUCAAAGAAUUUAAAUAGCAUCAGCUCUUCACCGAGUCAGAUCACUACUCAUAAAAAGAAGCCUGCAUCUUCAGCUGAAACUUCUAAAACUACUCCAAAGGCAUUAUCACAGGCAGUUGAAGUUCCUGUUACAACUGAAAAUUUAAAGGAAUUUGAUGCUUUUCCUGUUGACAGGACUCCAGAAACUGCUAAGAGUAUGAAGAAUCUUAUUGCAGCUGCACAGGCGAAACGGAGACAAGUAGCUCAAGCUCAAUGUCAUCCUCUUUCCAUUUACUAUACUCAAGGGGGAACACCAAGCCCCUCUACAAUUCAACCAUUUUUGUCUGCCUCAAGUAAUAUUGAACAGGCUGAUUGGCAGGGAGUUCUUGAAAACCCAACUUUGGCUUCUCCAUCAACUAAUGGCUAUCAAUCCAUUUCUCUAAAUGAACUUGGUGCUGUAGAAAAUGAGGAGAAAAGAGUUAGUCCAGUGCAAAAGGAUGUAAGGGGAUCUCUAAGUGGUGGUACUGAUGCCGCUAUUGCUCGUGAUGCCUUUGAAGGAAUGAUAGAGACUUUGUCUAGAACUAAGGAAAGUAUUGGGCGUGCAACACGUUUAGCUAUUGAUUGUGCUAAGUAUGGCAUUGCCAAUGAGGUUGUUGAACUUCUUAUCCGAAAGCUGGAAAGUGAAACUAGUUUUCAUCGUAAAGUGGAUUUGUUUUUUCUUGUUGAUUCCAUCACCCAGUGCUCGCAUAAUCAAAAAGGCAUUGCAGGAGCCUCAUACAUCCCUACAGUUCAAGGAGGGUUGCCACGCCUUCUUAGUGCUGCUGCUCCCCCUGGGGCCAGUGCUUCUGAAAAUCGUCGUCAAUGUCUCAAGGUUUUAAAGCUGUGGCUUGAGAGGAAAAUAUUUCCUGAAUCAGUUCUUCGUCGUUACAUGGAUGAUAUGACAAUUAGUUGUUCAUUUAGGCGUCCUUCUCGUGCUGAACGUUCUCUGGAUGACCCAAUUAGAGAAUUGGAGGGCAUGUUUGUUGAUGAGUAUGGAAGUAAUACAUUUAAGCUGCCUGGCUUUUUAUCUUCUUGUGUGUUUGAAGAAGAUGAGGACAAUGAUUUUCCAAGUAAUGCAUCUCCAGCAGAUGCCAUCCGCAUUUUUGGGGAUUCAGAAACUUCUACUGUUACCCCUAGUGACAAGCGCCAUUGUGUCUUGGAGGAUGUGGAUGGUGAGCUGGAAAUGGAAGAUGUUUCAGGUCACCUCAAGGAGGAAAGACCUUUAUUACUGAACAGUCCUUCUGAAAAGGAUUCUCAACAUCAGGGCUCAGAAAGGAUUUUAGUUCCAGCUUCAAAGAUUUCUGCUGAGAUACCUGAUGAUAUUCUUGAGGGCUCUCCUCCUUUGCCAUUAGAUUCACCCCCUUCUCCACCACCUUUGCCUUCCUCACCUCCACCUCCUCCUUUGCCACCCCCAAGCCCUCCACCUUCACUGGUUCCUCAAUCAUCUGAGCCUGUUCAGCCUCCACUUUUCUCCCAGACAAUAGUGCCACCUCAGUUAUCGCAUCAGUCAUCACCAUUGUCAGGGUUUCAGCAGAGUGUACCUCAUGAUUUUAGUGGCUCAACCAAUGGCAACCAAAUAGGUCAAGUGGCUGGAAAUUCUUUACCUGGAAGUCACAAUAGCUCAGUUGUCAAGAAUGAAAUAUUACAACAGCCAUCUGCUUGCUUUCCUCCAAUGGCAGGCUGCAACUCUCAAGAACCCUCUGGUUUUAACCCUCCAAGGCAGUUAGAAUAUGGACAAAAUGAUAUGUAUCUAAAUUCUCAAGGCCCGCAACCUAAUAUGCAAUUUCAGCCAGCUAACCCACCAUUUGCUCCAAGACACGUGCAUCCUGCCCUACCCGAAAAUUCAUCCAAUCAGUACUCAUAUCCAAAACCUACAAUUCCCCAGCACCUUCCACAUUCUUUCCAGCCCCCCUUCUCAUUGCCAUCAGUUCCAGAUGCCCAGAGGCAAUUUGGUGCUAAUGAGCAAUGGAGGAUGCCAUCAAGUGAAUUUAUAACAAAUAAUCAGCAGGGUCUAUGGAUUGGGAGAAAUCCUUCAUGUCCUGCUCCUCCCUUUGGGCAGGAAGGUUUUUUUUCGGCCACCACUAGAAAGACCACCAAUAAACAACGUAGGUUUUCAGCAUGCAAAUCCUGGCAACAUACCUACUCAUCCUAUCACAGAUCAUUAAUUCCUUCUUCAGGACAUGGUGUUCCUCAGAUGUUGUCCUGUAGACCAGAUAUACCUGCACUUAAUUUUUGGAGGCCUACCUGAUGCUGAUAGAAAUAUUGUAAAAUUCAUCUGUACAAUUGGUGGUGUUGAUGCUUGUGGAUCAACCAUCGAGGUUACACAUUGUGGUUUGAAGUUAGAUUCACUUGUGUAGAACAUACGGACAACUACCCCUGAGGAAAGUUUUGAAAACUUGUGGAGGAUUUUGGCAGGACUGUGUAUAUUAUAAUUUUUCCUGACAAUGUAUCCCAAGAACAUUUGCUUCCAAGUUUAGGUCCUUGUUUCUGACUUGAUCUACGUGGUGUUGAAAGGGGAGAAUCAUAUAAAAAAAUUGUGGGAAGUUGUCAUCAAAGAGCAUUGCUGUAAAAUUCCAACACGCCGAUUUUCUAUUGAUUAGCUGAUCUCAGAAAUGGUAUUUAAUGCGCGUUUCAUAUUCUGCUUCUUAAACUUGUGGAUGAAGGUAUGAACACUGUAAUGUUAAUGAUCAUUACAUUAAGGGUUUGUUAGAACACUUACAGGUUAAGAAAAUAAUAAGGGAAAAUAAAAUAACUUCUUUAUAAGAUAAAAUUAGUUUAUACAUUAACUAAUUUGCAAAAAAUGGUCUUAUGUUAGCCUUUUUGAAGCCUAGUUUUUAAUUCCUGUAUAAGUUAGUUUUAGUUUAUAGGAUUUUUUUUUCAAUUUUCUUUUCUUGGAGAUGUUUAUGGAAGAAUUUGUCCGAAUAAGCUUUAAAACUAUGACGAUGUGUGCAUGUUUACGUGUUUUUAGUAAUUACACCUCAAGUAAGUGACUUUAAAACGCAUAUAGGAAAAACUUAAAUGCAAUAUAAAAUGUUUGUUUAUAUGCUGAGAAAUUUUACAGAAUUAACGAAUUCUUUAGACGUCUUAAUCUAUUGCACCUUUAUUUAUUCAUGGAUUUUACAGUUAUUGAGAAGAGCAGGUACUUUGAAGUUUUGCUUUAGUACAAGCGCUCAUCGCCAUUGCUUAAAAACAGAUAGGACAGUCAUGCCGUGGCUUUGGACUGCGACACAAUCAUGGACACUUUUUACCUUGAUGUCAUACUCUUCAGUAAAAUAUAUAGUCCUAUUUUUGGGUUCAAGCACGUUAUAAUGCUUGAUUUGUCUGUUAAACUUUCUAUUUUGCUGAAGAGGAAUUUUGAGUAACUUGAAUAUUUCAGGUUUUUGCGUAAGCGGAGAUGAUUGGUUUACCUCUCAGGUUUACAAUGUGGAUUCUGAACAACGAACAAGUUUACCUAACUUUUUCUGGAAAAAAGUAGUCACUGAAUCCGUUGCUGUGAGACACUCAGACUCACAUUGCAUCCAAAACUGUAGAUCUUCGAACUAGAUAGUUGACAUGGCGGAACAUAAUUUCUUCUUGUAUUAUACAUACAAUUUCUAUGCGGCGACAUUUAUAAGGAUGGUUCUCAUGAAGAGCUCAAAAAAUUUCUGAUUGGCACAUUACAAUGUUUAGAUAGAUGUACUGUGUAGCACUGAUGCAUGCACAUCUUCGCAGAUACCGAAGAAUCUUGAAGAAAGAUCUUUUUGUACUGUAGAAAGCAUUUCUGAUGUUUGGCAUUCUGCGUUCCCCAUCAAUGUGAUAUACAAGGUUGAUCAUCAGUGCUAACACAUAAUAUUGUGGCCUCUAUCAACUGAUCAAGCACCUUAUCUCAUGCUUUAUUAUCAGAGUUCAUUCUUAGGGAAGAUAGCAGAGAUUGUUGGUAUCUGAUUCUCGACUAUCAUACCAAAAUUGUAAGAGGGUUUUUCUUAUUUGAAGAAUCCGAUUUCUGUUUUCUUUUUUCUUUAAUGACGAAGAAUCCAAUUUUUAAGCAUGACAAAAGAAAGCCUGAGGUUGGUCUCUCCUGGGACCUAGACACUU